ACGUCUCUCUCCUGCAGGUCUGUCAUGGGCCACUGGUCGACGCCUGUGGCUCUUCUGAUGCUCCUCAUUGGUCAGAUUUCCGCAGAGACGAGCAGCAGCUCAAACGCCUGUCAGGAUCAGAAUGCUCUUCAUGACCGGAUGGAUGUCGUAGAGAAGCGGGUGGAGGACUCUCUUCAGAAGCUGGAGGCGGAGCUGGCUCUUCUGCUGGAUGCUGUGGAGGCCCCUGAGUGGAGCCCCCUGCUGGACAAACCACUAAUUGACAUACUGGACGAGCCGCCGGCUCCUGACUCGUGAGAACAUGAUGAUCAUCAGAAGUGUGGUUGAAUAUGAUCCAGACAUUUCUUCACAAGAUCACAUGCAACAAUAACGGGACAGAGCGGAUCAUUCAGAUUCAUUCUGAUCCUAUAAUGGGUCAAAACAGGGUUUAUUUUUAAGCUUUUCACAGUAAAAAUUUAAUUAAUCAUUUAUACCAUUUUACUGCAUGUCAGUGGUUUAUUCCAGCGUUUGUUUAGAACUGUAUUAUAACUGAUGAUUUAAGGAACCACUGAUGAGAGCUGAUGAUCUUCACUUGAUCAAUCAUUGUAUGCAUGUGAAUGUACAAAAACACAUAACAUUGUUACAGUGUACAUGAUUUUAUCAGGGUUCUUUUUACUUCAUUAAAUCCAGUUUGCCUGUUCAGACUCCCAGCAUGCAUUGCUCAUGUGCGGUCGCUUUUGUUGUUAGUUAGUUUUAGUUUAAUUUGUUUUGUUGUGUUCAGAGUUUGUAUUUUUGUUUUAAUACACUGCAUCUCACUAGUCUCUCUAUGCUAGAAUAACUGUCAUAAAAUCAUUUUCACAUUAUGAACUGACUGAUUCAUGUUGUCAUGAAUAUGCGCUGACUUGGAAUGUGUUAAUAAACUAAAUAAAAAAUAACCGAUUUUUGACAUCCAACCUAAACUGUGUCCCAAUUAAUGUACCAAACACUAUUGAAAUAAAAUAAUAAUCUUUUUUUUGUUUUUUUUUGUUUUCAUCUUAAUGCCCAAGGCUCGAGUUUUUAAAUGUGGGGAAAAAAUUAGGAAAAAUUGUGUCUUAGAUCCUUCUUGAGUAGAAGUCUGAAGUUUUCUCUCUUUUAAAUUUUUUCAAUAAAAUUUUUUUUUUUUUCUCAUUAAAAAAUUUCUCUACUUUUUUAAUCCCUUUUUUCCUAAAAAAAAACUUUUUUUUAUGUCUUGAAAAUGUUUUUAAAGGGAGAAAAAAAUUAAGGGGAGCAUACUUAAGAGAAGUUUUCUAAUAAGAAACUUAAAGGGCAAAAAAUUUGAACAAGUUUUUUGAACAGAAAAGGUUUUAAAGACAAAAAAAUUGGGAGAAAAAAAUUCUGAGGAAGAAAAUCACAAGUUAAACUCACAUCAAAACAUGCUUUGAUACACAUGGAUUUAUUUUUAUUUAUUUUUUUUCACGUUGUGGUCCAGGCCUAAAGUAUUUUUAUAAUAAAGUUUGCACUGAUCUCAUGUACCUGAACAAAUAGGUUCAGAAACUCAAAAGCUGGAAUGACUGACUUUCUGGAGGAUUUGUGGUGAAAUGUGUCUUUCUUCUGUAUGUUUGCGUCGCGUUCAGCAGCAGAUGGUGUGAAUCUGAGCAGAUGGAAGGAGAACAUGUUUAUAUAGAAGCAGGAAACACAAACACCUUGUUGCUUUGCUGACAUUUUCAACCUCAUAUGAUCGAGACACACACACACUUCAGUUUAACUAAUAAAUACACACACACAAACACAAUUUCCAUACAGUAAAAAAAAAUAAAAAAUAAAAAAAAUAAUACAACUAAUCAAUAAAAAUUAUUUUAGUAAAAUAACACUGGAUGUAACUUUAAAGUGUUAUGGAUAAAUUUGCAAUGUAAAAAUCUGAACAAAAAACAUGUUAAAUAUAUACAGUAUAUGUUUUUUAUAAAUAUUUUUUUAAAUAAAUAAAUAUAUUGUAUUUUCAAAAUAUAUAUUUGAAAAUAUAUUUAUAAAAAAAAAUAAACCAUUAUGUAUUUGAUUGGUGGAGAAAUAAGAGGCACAAGAACAUAUUCAUUCUUUAUUCAUAUUUUAAUGAUCGUCAAAAUCUAUGGGUUGCCAAAAUAUUCAAGAGUAUCUAUGUAUACGUACAGUAUCAUGCCGUCCACAUUACAAUGGAAAACUAGGUUAAAGUCAGAAGUCAUGUGAUGUGAAACCAGAUUGAGCAUUCACACCACAGACUGACUUCAGAUUAAACAUUCCAGGAGUUCACUUACUACAAUAAAUGCUUCUUUACAAAUGUUCUUGUGUUUCUAUGAGCUUUACGCGCUAAACACACACACACACACACACACACACACACACGCACACGCAGGCACUCGUUUAGAUUAGAAAUGGCUAUGCAAAUGGUACAAAAGCUUUGGCGUUUUUGCCCACAAGUUGUGCCUGCACACUUGAGAGAGAUUUUAAACAAGACGUUGCUUCAUAAAACCUCUCAGUAUCGUAUCGUCUAUAUUUAAACUCGCUAAUGUCAGCACAUCCACAUAAAACUGUGGAAAAUACUCAGGCUUUUCACUAUGUACAUGUUUACAUGAUGAAGCGGUGAGUUUACGGUAGUGAUUCGCUACACGUGUGCCGACGUCACUUACUGAAUUAAUGCUACGCUAAAGACACACACACGCACACACACACACACACACGUACACACACGCACACACACACACACACACAGAGAGAGAGAGAGAGCUAUAAAUCAAUCUUAAUCUGGCGUCCUAUAGAGAUUCAUAAGCAGCAGAGAUGAAGGAUCGGCGUCUCAUCAAACCUUCACUGCGUUUAAGAGUCUAACAGUCAGAAAAGAGUUUGGCAACAUGUGAGAGCAGGGCAGGAAGGGUUAAAGCAGCGACAAACAGAGAGAAAUAUACUAUCAUCAUCAUCAUCAUCAUCCUGGCUAAUAGCGUGCCCUUAAACACGCCAAAAUUAAAGAUUGUGUCUAUCUUACACUACCACUCAAAAUAAUUAUUUUCUGUUCGUGCAUUUAUUUGAUCAAAAAUGCAGUAAAAAUUGUGAAAUAUUAUUCUAGUGUAAAUCAUCUGUUUUCUGUGUGAAUCUGUGUUAAAGUGUAAUGUAUUUCUGUGAUGCACAGCUGUAUUUUCAGCAUCAUUCCUCUUCAGUGUCACAUGAGUUUAAAAUAAAUCAAAGUUCAGAAGAACAGCAUUUAUUUGAAAUAGAACAUCUUUAUAAUGCCACUUUUGAUCAAUGUUACGCAUCCUUGAUGAAAGAAAGGAUUAAUAUCUUUAAAAACAUUUUUUUUUGAAUGAUAGUGUAUCAUAGUUUCCACAGAAAUAUCGAGCAGCACAACUGUGUUCAACAUUAAUAAUAAUCAGAAAUGUUUCUUGAGCAGUAAAUCAUCAUAUUAUUCUGAUUUCUGAAGAUCAUGUGACACUGAAGACUGGAGGAAUGAUGCUGAAAAUACAGCGGAGCAUCACAGAAAUACAUUACACUUUAACACAGAUUCACACAGAAAACAGAUGUUUUACAUUAAAGUAAUAUUUCAAUAUUUUUUUACUGUAUUUUUGAUCAAAUAAAUGCAGCACUGGUUAGCACGGAUGUCACUGCAGAAAUGGUCAUGUGAUGUCCUCAUGUACAAUUAAACCGAUUCAUCUCACUGUAAACAGAUCAGUCCAAGGAAAACAAAACAAACGACUCUCUAGAUCUGAUUCGACAGAGGAUUUUCUGCUUUAAAGUGCUGGAGGAAGUCAAACAUCUCAAACAACACCCACAACUUAAUCUUGAUCCAUUUUACAGAAAACAAGACUUCAUAUCUGAUAUAUUUUUGCUUCUCCAAAUUUAUCUUGAUUUACGAAUCGUCUGACAUUUGUAUUGGAAAACAACACACAAAAAUAAAUACCCCAUAAACAAUCCAUGAAAUACUUCUUAGAGGAAGAACAGCAUCUGCUUCAUUUCUAAUACUUAAGUUAAUACUUUAAGAUCAUAUAUUUUUAAUAACAAAUAUUAGUCCAGCAAUCUGACUUCGAGCAGCACAUGAAAGCAGGAAACUCUGUCCUGAACUCAAGAGGCACCAGAUGCUUCCAUGAUCCAUAAGAAGUCACACAUGUAAACAUACAAACACAAUUAAGUCAGUUAUCAGUUGCUCAUCAAGCAGCUUGAUGUGUGUGGAUUCAUCAUGAAGAUCUCCAUCGUCUGGCGGGUUUCAUGUGGCGUCGUCAUACUCAAGCGAACAGUCUUACAUUGUAGAAUUGCCUCUAAAUCUCUAUUUUACAUCAUGCUGAAGAGUUACGUUG
ensembl:lncRNA